CCUACGGGUGGCAGCAGUGAGGAAUAUUGGUCAAUGGGCGAAAGCCUGAACCAGCCAAGUCGCGUGAAGGAAGAAGGAUCUCUGGGUUGUAAACUUCUUUUAUAGGGGAAUAAAGGGAUGCACGUGUGGAAGUUUCCAUGUACACUUUCAUUCCGGCUCGGCUAACUCCGUGCCAGCAGCCGCGGUAAUACGGAGGAUCCGAGCGUUAUCCGGAUUUAUUGGGUGUAAAGGGAGCGUAGGUGGGUUUUUAAGUCAGUUGUGAAAGUUUGGGGCUCAACCAUACAAUUGCAAUGGAAACUGGCAGGCUGGAGUGCAGUAGAGGUAGGUGGAAUUCGUAGUGUAGCGGUGAAAUGCAUAGAUAUCAGGAAGAACUCCGAUGGCGAAGGCAGCUUACUAAACUGUAACUGACAUUGAUGCUAGAAAGCGUGGGGAUCAAACAGGAUUAGAUACCCGAGUAGUC
rnacentral:rRNA from 1 species